rnacentral:rRNA from 1 species
CUUAAAGGAAUUGACGGGGCCCGCACAAGCGGCGGAGCAUGCGGAUUAAUUCGAUGCAACGCGAAGAACCUUACCAAGGCUUGACAUACACCGGUAACGCCCAGAGAUGGGUGCCCCUUUGUGGUCGGUGUACAGGUGGUGCAUGGUUGUCGUCAGCUCGUGUCGUGAGAUGUUGGGUUAAGUCCCGCAACGAGCGCAACCCUCGUCCUAUGUUGCCAGCGGGUCAUGCCGGGGACUCAUGGGAGACUGCCGGGGUCAACUCGGAGGAAGGUGGGGAUGACGUCAAAUCAUCAUGCCCCUUAUGUCUUGGGCUUCACGCAUGCUACAAUGGCCGGUACAAAGGGCUGCGAUACCGCGAGGUGGAGCGAAUCCCAGAAAGCCGGUCUCAGUUCGGAUUGGGGUCUGCAACUCGACCCCAUGAAGUCGGAGUCGCUAGUAAUCGCAGAUCAGCAACGCUGCGGUGAAUACGUUCCCGGGCCUU